rnacentral:rRNA from 1 species
GAUCCUGGCUCAGGAUGAACGCUAGCUACAGGCUUAACACAUGCAAGUCGAGGGGCAGCAUGAUUGAAGCUUGCUUCAAUCGAUGGCGACCGGCGCACGGGUGAGUAACACGUAUCCAACCUGCCGAUAACUCGGGGAUAGCCUUUCGAAAGAAAGAUUAAUACCCGAUAGUAUAGUAUUUCCGCAUGGUUUCACUAUUAAAGAAUUUCGGUUAAUCGAUGGGAUGCGUUCCAUUAGAUAG